AACAUGGUUGCAAAAGAAAAGGUUGCUGCAAAGAAAAGUGAAAUGCAAAAACUGCAGACACAAAAUGAAGAUGGUCUACUACACACAGUCCACAGACCUCCACAUCUGGGAGUGCCGUCGUAAAAGAUGUGGACGUUUGAGGAGAAGUGUAAGGACCAAGUCUCUUUUCUCAAACUCACACUGUAGUCUCUUCACAUGGAUGUACAUUCACAGAUUUGCACAGGGUUUGCAGCUACGGCAGGUAGACAUGCUUCAGGAUGGCAUCACUAAAAGCACUGCAACACUCUCAAUGAUGUCUAAAAAACUGCGAAGAAUUUGCCUAAAAAGCCUUAAAAGGCACAGGAAAGAAAAAGGCCAGAAAAUCGGUGGAGUCAACGCUAUCGUCCACAUUGACGAGAGCAAGUUCUGCCAUAAGCGCAAG
ensembl:lncRNA